rnacentral:snRNA from 1 species
UGUUCUUCUGCAGAUCUGAC